AGCACCGGAGAGUCAUUGCUUUAGAGCAGGAGAGUGACAUGCUUUUGAAGGAGAUGGAUAUUUGAGCACUCAUGAACAAGUCAGGGUGUAUGGACUUCUCAUGUGUAUUUUUGUUGCCGCAUGGAGUAGGAAGGACCACAGAAUAAGAAGAGUUGUCCAGCAGCAGAAUAGCAGCCUUGGAAGAAAGUGAGCUUCCCAUCACUGAAAGUGGCCAAGCAGACACUAACCACACAGGCAUGAUGAGGAUUCCUGCACUGGAUGAGCGGGUUAUAGUCACAAGAGAGGUCUCCAAGCAAGCAUCCUUCCAUCUUC
rnacentral:lncRNA from 1 species